CCAGAAGGUUAGACGCUUGUCAGUGUCUCAUACGAGAGCAUUAUACGGCAACUCAUUUGAGCAUUUUCCUCUGGUUUUGCAGGAGCCGUGUGGCCACUGUUGGAACUGGAUACGCAUUUGAGGCGCCACAGGCGAUGACAGCCACAGUGUCUGUCUCUGGAAUGAGCAGCUGAUGAAGAGGAACCAAGUGAC